rnacentral:rRNA from 1 species
UACGUAGGGUCCGAGCGUUGUCCGGAAUUACUGGGCGUAAAGGGCUCGUAGGCGGCCAACUAAGUCAUACGUGAAAUCCCUCGGCUUAACCGGGGAACUGCGUGUGAUACUGGAUGGCUUGAGAUUGGGAGAGGGAUGCGGAAUUCCAGGUGUAGCGGUGAAAUGCGUAGAUAUCUGGAGGAACACCGGUGGCGAAGGCGGCAUUCUGGACCGACAUUGACGCUGAGGAGCGAAAGCCAGGGGAGCAAACGGG